GUCAGGAUGGCCGAGUGGUCUAAGGCGCCAGACUCAAGAAACGAGGUUCUUCGCCGACAUGAGGUGUUGAGUAUUCUGGUCUCCGAAUGGAGGCGUGGGUUCGAAUCCCACUUCUGACA
rnacentral:tRNA from 1 species